GAGGAAAAACAGGAGGAGCAGGAGGAGCAGGAAGAGCAAGAAGAACAAGAGGACCAGGAGGACCAGGAACACCAGGAGGAGGAGAAGAAGAAAUAAUGAGUGAUUGUGUCUACGUUUAUGGGAAGAGUUUGAUAGGUUGUGUUGCAUCUUUGAAGAAAUGUGUACUGGAAGAAUUACUCAUGCAGAGUCUCACUGUGUUGUCAUCUGAGACUUCGAGUUCAUUACUGAAACCAUGCUUCAUCUCAGAAUCAUGAGAAGAUCACUACAGAAGCAGAUCACCACACUUAGCUAGUGGUAUUGUAAAAUCUCUUCAUUAAUGACUUUCAUUUUUGCUUGCUUGUGUAUAAAAUUGAAUCAAAAGUUUAUAUUUUCUCAUUUACUACAGGUUUCCUUAAAUCAUCUUUACAUCUAACCAUAUUUUUAUUACUUGGCAUAUUUUUUGAAUUACAAUUUAUUUAAACACUGAAAUAUAUUUUGUAAUAUUUUAUUUUUCAUUAUUUGCAACAAUAUUUUAAAUCAAAUAUUCUAUCAUAUUAUACCGCUCCCCCAAGACCUUCAUCUCCACUCCCUUUUUCAUCCAACUUUAAGAUAUUUGUCAAAAAAGAUACAAAAUUCCAAUUGAAACCAAUCUCUCAAAAUCAAGAAAAUAAAAUCACAUUCAAAAUAACCAAUCAACAAACAAACAAACAACAAUAAACAAAAGAACAAAAAGGAAAAAAAACCACCAAACUGUAGCCAUGUAAAAGAACCAUCAAAAAUUCGAAUUAUUUGUUGAUCAAAUACUGCUGAAUGUUAGGCCUAUCCUAAUUGAUGUACCUAGUAUUACUCUUUCUGGAAAAUCAAAUUUUAUCUCUCUGAGUGGUUAUGACAGUUCCCUUUACUCUAGUGCCUACAGUUUUACUUAUUAUUUUAUUUAUAUAUUUAUUCAUUUAUUCAUCCAUUCAUUUCUUUUUAAAUUAUAAUAAAACUAAAAUAUAUAAUACAUAAUAAAAUAACCCAAAAUUUAUCUAUAGUAUUAAUAGACUAGUCAGUACUGGCAUGGAGUUACUACCUGCCUCAAUGUAACUGUAUUUUACUGUCAAUUGGGUCCCCAAAACCUGUUUGCAGGAGAAGAUCUGCAAGUAGCUUCUGGGAAAUUGCCCCCAGAUAAUUCUGAUUGGUAAGUAAUGAUAUCCGCAGCCAAUAUAUGGGGAGGAGAGAUGGCUGCAGGAUUAAGAUUCCCAGGUUUGGAACCAUGAGGAAGAGGUAGGACAGAGAGAUGUGGGGCCUGAAUUUUAUGCAGUGGAGGAAAGCAGAGCCACCAUAUAAAGAGGCCAAGAGAACAUGGCCCAGUGGGCUGCUCAAUUAAGCAGUCAUAACAUAUUCUUAUGUAGUAACUCAGAGGUAUCUGUGGGAGGUGGAGACUAACAACAUAGAGGUUAGGCAGUUGCUCAGCUAAUGUGAGGUUUAAUUGAUACUAAAUAUAAAGGCUGUGUGUUUUUCAUUCAGAAACAUAAACUAUUGAAGCAGGUAGUCACCAUUGAGAACUUAAUUUAAAAAUUAAAACUUCAAUUAUGAUAAUGACUUUGGGCUAGAAAUCAACAGAAAGACAUGAGCCCAAGACAAGUUACAAUAAUCAGAGACCUGGUUAUUUGUACACUCAAACAUCCCAUAAUCCCUUAAUUGGAAGUUAUAGUAUAUGUGAGAAAGACCUAGUACAUUACCAAAGACCCUGGAAUGUAGUUUUCUAUGUGGGCACAGACUUGACAUUUUCAUUUUAAUGAAAUUUGUCUAAGUACUGUCAUCAAAAAUGGGGCCUUGCUGUCAGUUUGGCAACAGGACCCUAUAGUGUUGGCAACACCUUGGGUUGUUAGGAAAUUUCUAUUCUAUUUAUAACAGCCCUUUUGGCCCAUGACUCAAUUAAACAUAAACCAAUUCUAGUGCUGGAAGCUUUGUUUGGUGACAAGUGAUGGCCCAUUGAGAGCCAUUAUUUGGUAAUUUCAUUUAGAUCUUGUACAAACACACACACACACACACACACACACACACAAAACACACACACACACACACACACACACACACACACAUAUAUAUAUGUACAUAAUUCGUAAUGUUUUUAUUGUACUGUUUCCCUACUACCCCUCCAGUGCCUCUCUAGUGCCCUGCUAUUUUUGACUGUACCUCCUGUAUUCCUUCCCACAAUCUACUCUCCUCACCCUAGCUGUUUCUCCCUGUUUUCUCUUCCUCUAUCUCCUCUCUUCUCCUAUUCCCCACAGUUCGUUAGUUUCGUCUAGUCUCUUAUCUCUGUCAAAGUAUGCUGUAUGAAACUUGUACAUUAUCUGUUAUUUGAGAAAAAAAGUCUAGAAUUUAGUUUACGUAAUGACUAACUUGAAAACAGUAUCUGGGAAAAUUUCAGAUGGAAGUGGCAACAAUGUGUAACAGAUGAUUUUUGAAAGGGCAGAUAUAAAGAUGUAAAGAUGUACUUACUAUCUGUAUAUAUUCAUUUUCCACUUAUGUUUAUGGAAUUUCAUUUUUGUAACUAUUAUUUGAAUUACUUUUUCAAAUCAUAAAAGUGGCUAGGGAUUUUCAAAUAUUUUUAUUUUCUUUUACUGAACAUUGAAAUGAUCAUGUAAUCCUUUGUCAUUACUGUAUUAAUGUAGUACUUUACAUGAGUGCUCUAUAUAUGUUAUGCUAUCCCUACAUAUUUAGGUCACAUUUACAAUACAACAGUAUAAAAAACUUUUCUAUCUGUUGGAUGGUUUGAAUUGUAUUUGUUAGUAUAUAACUUCAUUUUGUAUUAUUAUUUGAUGUUUUUCAUACAAUAUAUUUUAAUUACUGUCUCACCACUUUUCCAACUGCUCCCAGAUCUUUGUGUCUCCCUACCAAUAAAAAUUCAUUCACCCUUGGUUGUGUACAAGGUAACGAU